rnacentral:tRNA from 1 species
GUACCCGUAGCUCAGACGGACAGAGCGUGGGACUCCGACUCCCAAGGCCGCAGGUUCGAUUCCUGUCGGGUACGCCA